GGUGGGAUGGCCGAGUGGUUUAAGGCGCAUGCUUGGAAAGCAUGUGUAUUGUUUUAAAGCAGUACCCUGGGUUCAAAUCCCAGUCCCACCGCCA
rnacentral:tRNA from 1 species